CUACGGGGGGCUGCAGUGAGGAAUAUUGCACAAUGGGGGGAACCCUGAUGCAGCAACGCCGCGUGGAGGAUGACGCAUUUCGGUGUGUAAACUCCUUUUAUAUGUCAAGAAAAUGACGGUAGCAUAUGAAUAAGCACCGGCUAACUCCGUGCCAGCAGCCGCGGUAAUACGGGGGGGUGCAAGCGUUACUCGGAAUCACUGGGCGUAAAGGACGCGUAGGCGGGUUGGAAAGUCAGGUGUGAAAUCCUACAGCUUAACUGUAGAACUGCACUUGAAACUUCUAAUCUAGAGUAUGGGAGGGGGAGAUGGAAUUAGUGGUGUAGGGGUAAAAUCCGUAGAUAUCACUAGGAAUACCUAAAGCGAAGGCGAUCUCCUGGAACAUUACUGACGCUAAGGCGUGAAAGCGUGGGGAGCAAACAGGAUUAGAUACCCCGGUAGUC
rnacentral:rRNA from 1 species